GAUGAACGCUAGCGGCGCACCUAAAACAUGCAAGUCGUACACUCGCAAGAGUGUGGCAAACGGGUGAGUAACGCGUAGGAAUCUGCCUCAAUCCGGGAAAUACCCUGCCGAAAGGUGGGCUAAUGUCCCAUGUGCUCGCAAGAGUAAAGCUCCGGCGGAUUGAGAGGAGCCUGCGUCCUAUCAGCUUGUUGGUGGGGUAAUUGCCUACCAAGGCUAUGACGGGUAGCUGGUCUUAGAGGAUGAUCAGCCACAAUGGCACUGAGAUACGGGCCAUACACCUACGGGUGGCAGCAGUUAGGAAUCGUACACAAUGGACGAAAGUCUGAUGUCGUGACGCCGCGUGAAGGAUGAAGGUUUUCGGAUCGUAAACUUCUUUUCUGUAGGAUGAUUAUGACAGUACUACAGGAAUAAGCACCGGCUAACUACGUGCCAGAAGCCUCGGUAAUACGUAGGGUGCGAGCGUUAUCCGGAAUUAUUGGGCGUAAAGAGCGCGUAGGCGGUCUAUCAAGUCCAGUCUUAAAGCCUGCAGCCUAACUGCAGAGAUGGACUAGAAACUGGUAGACUUGAGUAAUUGCAGGGGUGAGCGGAAUCUAC
rnacentral:rRNA from 1 species